rnacentral:rRNA from 1 species
GAUGAACGCUGGCGGCGUGCCUAAUACAUGCAAGUCGAGCGAACAGACGAGGAGCUUGCUCCUCUGACGUUAGCGGCGGACGGGUGAGUAACACGUGGAUAACCUACCUAUAAGACUGGGAUAACUUCGGGAAACCGGAGCUAAUACCGGAUAAUAUAUGCACCGGGUGGGUCAAAUGGUAAAUGAGGGUUUUCCUGUCUCUAUUAGCUGAUUCCGGGCCGCAUUAGUUAGUGGGAAAGGUAACGGCUUACCAAGGCAACGAUGCGUAGCCGACCUGAGAGGGUGAUCGGCCACACUGGAACUGAGACACGGUCCAGACUCCUACGGGAGGCAGCAGUAGGGAAUCUUCCGCAAUGGGCGAAAGCCUGACGGAGCAACGCCGCGUGAGUGAUGAAGGUCUUCGGAUCGUAAAACUCUGUUAUUAGGGAAGAACAAAUGUGUAAGUAACUAUGCACGUCUUGACGGUACCUAAUCAGAAAGCCACGGCUAACUACGUG